AUCGGUCUUGGAUGGAGAUGAUUAGGGAUUUAAUGCAUCUCGUCACUAAGAAAUGAGAAAUGCUACAGAUCUGCCUCUUUUGAAUUGUGUAGAAAUUGUAUUUUCCUUUUUUUUUUUUUUUUCCCUCCAUAUGCAAAUCAAAAUGGAAGAAGUGAGAAGAAAUAUUAUAAAGGAUACAUAACGCAAUGGCAGCCCUGUUGUUUCCCACCUUACUCCCCCUUUCACAUUGCUGUUGGCACAGCAGCAUGUGUUUCAAGGUGAGGAAGGGAGUGAAGGAGCUGGUCUCAGCCUCCAUCUCCCAGGCAGGUAGGACAGAGGAAAUACAGGAAAUGCUUGCGUAAAGAUGUAAGAUAGAGAGCAAUUCCCACGCUGCCCCUUUUGGAUUUGGAAGCUGAGAAGCAUCUACUCUGUUAUUUGGAGCAAUUCAGGAGCGGAACAGAUUCCCACAGACAAUUUCCACGGAUACUACACAACACGGAGGUCUAAGCUUGCUUCUUCCGCUUCCAGAUGUGUGGAAUUACUGCAUUGCUCACAGCAUCAGCUCUUGUCUCUGGAAGCAAAGUCUGGAAGGCAUCCCAACUGUCCUCAUCCCUCCCCUCCGCGGCAGUAUCACUGUUCUGUGGACACAUGUGCAGAUCUAGCUGGAGCUGAUGAUCAACCCAAAGGAGGAACCGUCUCAGUCCUGAGAAUACAAAAUAGCUACCACAAAAGACAGCAGUGGUUCGUCUGUGGGUUCCCAUGCAACUUGGAAAUACAAGAGAGAAAUCAUCAUUGCCUUUUGCAGCCUGUAAGAUUUGUGACAGCCAAUUGCAGCGAUAUCCAUAACUUCUGAAAAAGAAAACAUCAUUUUUCUCCUACUGGCAUAUCUCAACUGCACGAGAAGCGUUUCUUUCAGCAUCACCGAAGGUCUGGGAUAUCUCACUUCAUGAAUCACAUUAGAUGUCUUCUCCUAAUUUUGUACGACCAUCUGUGAAUCUUUCCAACCCAGGUUCCAUCAGGAGCAGGAUCUGGCAGUUGGAAGAGAUUUGAGACCAACUCACUCGAUCCUUUUCCUGCUGCUCAGGCUGAUGAUAUUUCAGCAUAAAAGGAGGCUUUGAGCUGGUGUUGACUGCUCUUUCUCCUCUUUUCAAGGUAGUGGCAAAUUCAUCCUUACGGAGUAAGGAUGUCUUUGCAGGAUCACUAAUACCCUUCUUGGUAAUUCAGUUGCAGUGCAAAGCUUUGGAUGACUGAAGUGGGAAGGAUAGAGGAAAGAAAAGCAACCCAAACCUUCACCAGCACACCUGCUUGAGGGGCCGCAGAACUCCAAAGUUCAUCAAUACUAUGUGAAUCACUGCUGGAGACUGACAUUAGAAAUCCAUCUUCAUGCUGGCCUGGUUCCUCAUCUCCUACAUCACUAAAUUACAACUUAA
rnacentral:lncRNA from 7 species